AGGAGGAUGGACUCUUCAAAGCAAACAUGUCUGCAGGGGCGAGCGUCUUGACCAUCAAAGAUGAAUUUGCUGGUUUCUGAAACGCCUGAUUUGGGAACAAAACUGAACAUUCACCUGGGGCUGGCUGCCUAUGGUUAACUGGACGUGGCCGAGCGCGCUCGGAUUCCUGCUCCGAUGGUGUCGCGCCGAGCUCCUUAGCUGCAGUCAAAAGGCUGCCCAAGUCGGAGGAAAAGGAAUGCAGUGGUUGCCAGUAAUAGGAAAACUAUUAGGAACGCUAUUAGUAAUAGGAAAACCGAGUCCAGUGCUACGGUGCCCUCAAGAAACC